CAGUCUGAACUAGUAAUUGAACCGCCACUAGUGCCAAAGGCCAGCACAUUUGCCUCCUCUACCAGAGAGAUAUCUUCUUCUGAACUAGCAAUUGAACUGCAAGAGGCCAGCCCAUUUGCCUCCUCUACUAGAGAGAUAUCUUCUGUAAGUAACUGCGCCAAAACGAUGAAAAUAAUGACAAAAUGCUUUUGGUAUAAUAGCGUUUUUUUAGUUUUGUUUUGUUUUUCAGUCUGAACUAGCAAUUGAACUGCCACUAGUGCCACAGGCCAGCACAUUUGCCUCCUCUACUAAAGAGAUAUCUUCUUCUGAACUAGCAAUUGAACUGCAAGAGGCCAGCCCAUUUGCCUCCUCUACUAGAGAGAUAUCUUCUGUAAGUAACUGCGCCAAAACGAUGAAAAUAACGACAAAAUGCUUUUGGUAUAAUUGCGUUUUUUUUUUAGUUUUGUUUUGUUUUUCAGUCUGAACUAGCAAUUGAACUGCAAGAGGCCAGCCCAUUUGCCUCCUCUACUAGAGAGAUAUCUUCUUCUGAACUAGCAAUUGAACUGCAAGAGGCCAGCACAUUUGCCUCCUCUACUAGAGAGAUAUCUUCUUCUGAACUAGCAAUUGAACUGCAAGAGGCCAGCACAUUUGCCUCCUCUACUAGAGAGAUAUCUUCUGUAAGUAACUGCGCUAAAACGAUGAAAAUAAUGACAAAAUGCGUUUGUUAUGAUUGCGUUUUUUGUUGUUGUUGUUAUUCCGUCUGUACUAGCAAUUGAACCGCAACAGGCCAGCACAUCUGCGUCAUUCGUAGAAGCACUUUCUCCUGUAAGUAACUAUGUGUAGCUUAUGACGGGUACAGUGCAGAAUUACAGUUCCUUGCGUUUACUUAUUCUCGUGUUGUUAUUUCUUCUUGACAGCGUUGCUUAGAAGGUGAAACUAGUGAGAGACACGUUUGAGCAAUGUGAUAUAGCCUACAAAACGCGGACAGCGCUGUUGACUGAUUCAGAACGGGCUUUUUGAGGCUUCCUCUGACCGGGGGGGCCGUAACUUUGAACCAUUGGAGCUAUUAUGACCAAACUUUCAAAGAAUCAUUUUUUGACA